GUUUUACCUUGACGAAUUGUAGUUUAAAGAAGUGUUUUCUGUUGAAGUUUUGGUAAAAGUUCUUUGGAAUAGGACAUCAUAGAGGGUGAGAAUCCCGUAUUUGACCAUUAUUUUCAGCUGUGUGAUACACUUUCAAAGAGUCGGAUUGUUUGGGAAUGCAGUCCAAAAUGGGUGGUAAAUUUCAUCUAAAGCUAAAUAUUGGCGAGAGACCGAUAGCGAACAAGUACCGUGAGGGAAAGAUGAAAAGAACUUUGAAAAGAGAGUUAAACAGUACGUGAAAUUGUCAAAAGGGAAGCGUUUGACACCAGUGUUGUUUUCUCGAAAAUCAAUUAAAAAAAGUUGGAUUUUGUGUUGUAUUGACCUUAACAGCUUUCUUCACUCUUUUCCUGCUUUUUUU
rnacentral:rRNA from 1 species